rnacentral:rRNA from 1 species
AACGAACGCUGGCGGCAUGCCUAACACAUGCAAGUCGAACGAGACCUUCGGGUCUAGUGGCGCACGGGUGCGUAACGCGUGGGAACCUGCCCUUAGGUUCGGAAUAAAUCCCCGAAAGGGGUGCUAAUACCGGAUAAUGUCUUCGGACCAAAGAUUUAUCGCCUUUGGAUGGGCCCGCGUUGGAUUAGCUAGUUGGUAGGGUAAAAGCCUACCAAGGCGACGAUCCAUAGCUGGUCUGAGAGGAUGAUCAGCCACUCUGGGACUGAGACACGGCCCAGACUCCUACGGGAGGCAGCAGUGGGGAAUAUUGGACAAUGGGCGAGAGCCUGAUCCAGCAAUGCCGCGUGAGUGAUGAAGGCCUUAGGGUUGUAAAGCUCUUUUACCCGGGAUGAUAAUGACAGUACCGGGAGAAUAAGCUCCGGCUAACUCCGUG